AACGAACGCUGGCGGCAUGCCUAACACAUGCAAGUCGAACGAGAUCUUCGGAUCUAGUGGCGCACGGGUGCGUAACGCGUGGGAAUCUGCCCUUGGGUUCGGAAUAACGGUUAGAAAUGACUGCUAAUACCGGAUGAUGUCACCGGACCAAAGAUUUAUCGCCCAGGGAUGAGCCCGCGUAGGAUUAGGUAGUUGGUGGGGUAAGAGCCUACCAAGCCGACGAUCCUUAGCUGGUCUGAGAGGAUGAUCAGCCACACUGGGACUGAGACACGGCCCAGACUCCUACGGGAGGCAGCAGUGGGGAAUAUUGGACAAUGGGCGAAAGCCUGAUCCAGCAAUGCCGCGUGAGUGAUGAAGGCCUUAGGGUUGUAAAGCUCUUUUACCCGGGAUGAUAAUGACAGUACCGGGAGAAUAAGCUCCGGCUAACUUCGUGCCAGCCGCCGCAGUAAAAC
rnacentral:rRNA from 1 species